CGCAAGAUUAGAUAGUUGGUGAGGUAACGGCUCACCAAGUCUGUGAUCUUUAGGGGUCCUGAGAGGGAGAUCCCCCACACUGGUACUGAGACACGGACCAGACUCCUACGGGAGGCAGCAGUGAGGAAUAUUGGACAAUGGGUGAAAGCCUGAUCCAGCCAUCCCGCGUGAAGGAUGACGGUCCUAUGGAUUGUAAACUUCUUUUGUACAGGAAUAAACCUACUCUCGUGAGAGUAGCUGAAGGUACUGUACGAAUAAGCACCGGCUAACUCCGUGCCAGCAGCCGCGGUAAUACGGAGGGUGCAAGCGUUAUCCGGAUUUAUUGGGUUUAAAGGGUCCGUAGGCGGGCCUGUAAGUCAGUGGUGAAAUCUCAUAGCUUAACUAUGAAACUGCCAUUGAUACUGCAGGUCUUGAGUAAAUUUGAAGUGGCUGGAAUAAGUAGUGUAGCGGUGAAAUGCAUAGAUAUUACUUAGAACACCAAUUGCGAAGGCAGGUCACUAAGAUUUAACUGACGCUGAUGGACGAAAGCGUGGGUAGCGAACAGGAUUAGAUACCCUGGUAGUCCACGCCGUAAACGAUGCUAACUCGUUUUUGGAUUUUCGGAUUCAGAGACCAAGCGAAAGUGAUAAGUUAGCCACCUGGGGAGUACGUCCGCAAGGAUGAAACUCAAAGGAAUUGACGGGGGCCCGCACAAGCGGUGGAUUAUGUGGUUUAAUUCGAUGAUACGCGAGGAACCUUACCAAGACUUAAAUGGGAAAUGACAGGUUUAGAAAUAGACCCUUCUUCGGACUUUUUUCAAGGUGCUGCAUGGUUGUCGUCAGCUCGUGCCGUGAGGUGUUAGGUUAAGUCCUGCAACGAGCGCAACCCCUGUCACUAGUUGCUAACAUUCAGUUGAGGACUCUAGUGAGACUGCCUACGCAAGUAGAGAGGAAGGUGGGGAUGACGUCAAAUCAUCACGGCCCUUACGUCUUGGGCCACACACGUAAUACAAUGGCCGGUACAGAGGGCAGCUACACAGCGAUGUGAUGCAAAUCUCGAAAGCCGGUCUCAGUUCGGAUUGGAGUCUGCAACUCGACUCUAUGAAGCUGGAAUCGCUAGUAAUCGCGCAUCAGCCAUGGCGCGGUGAAUACGUUCCCGGGCCUUGUACACACCGCCCGUCAAGCCAUGGAAGUUUGGGGUACCUGAAGU
rnacentral:rRNA from 1 species